GUUGUAUCAGCAAUGUAAGCGCUUGGCUUCCUUUUGUCCUUGCGCAGCGAAGCCACCAAGUUCGUCGGGUCGGAAUCAAAGUAGUGGCUGACAUCGGUGAGGGAUAUCUCUGACGAAUCAAGGUUCUGAAAAGUAGCGUCCGCCGUGCUGAGAGCUACCUCGAACAUUUUUCGCUUCUCGGUCAUGCCGACGCCAGGGGCGUCACAGUCGAAUGCAAAGGAUUUGCGGCUUAGGUACAUGUCUUGCA
rnacentral:misc_RNA from 1 species